UAGCUCAGUUGGUAGAGCAUAGUAUUUGCAACGCCAGGGUUGUGGGUUCGAUUCCCAC
rnacentral:tRNA from 1 species